rnacentral:rRNA from 1 species
UACGAGGGGGGCAAGCGUUGUUCGGAAUUAUUGGGCGUAAAGGGCGCGUAGGCGGUGCGGUAAGUCUGUAGUGAAAUCUCUGGGCUCAACUCAGAGUCUGCUGCAGAAACUGCCGUGCUUGAGUGUGGGAGAGGUGAGUGGAAUUCCCGGUGUAGCGGUGAAAUGCGUAGAUAUCGGGAAGAACACCUGUGGCGAAAGCGGCUCACUGGACCACAACUGACGCUGAGGCGCGAAAGCUAGGGGAGCAAACAGG